rnacentral:tRNA from 1 species
GGGGUUGUGGCUCAGUGGUAGAGUGCUUGCCUUGCAUGCAUGAGGCACUGGGUUUGAUCCUCAGCACUA